GCCACACUGGGACUGAGACACGGCCCAGACUCCUACGGGAGGCAGCAGUGGGGAAUAUUGCACAAUGGGCGCAAGCCUGAUGCAGCGACGCCGCGUGAGGGAUGACGGCCUUCGGGUUGUAAACCUCUGUUAGCAGGGAAGAAGAGAGAUUGACGGUACCUGCAGAGAAAGCGCCGGCUAACUACGUGCCAGCAGCCGCGGUAAUACGUAGGGCGCGAGCGUUGUCCGGAAUUAUUGGGCGUAAAGAGCUUGUAGGCGGUUUGUCGCGUCUGCUGUGAAAGGCCGGAGCUUAACUCCGUGUAUUGCAGUGGGUACGGGCAGACUAGAGUGCAGUAGGGGAGACUGGAAUUCCUGGUGUAGCGGUGGAAUGCGCAGAUAUCAGGAGGAACACCGAUGGCGAAGGCAGGUCUCUGGGCUGUAACUGACGCUGAGAAGCGAAAGCAUGGGGAGCGAACAGGAUUAGAUACCCUGGUAGUCCAUGCCGUAAACGUUGGGCACUAGGUGUGGGGAACAUUCCACGUUUUCCGCGCCGUAGCUAACGCAUUAAGUGCCCCGCCUGGGGAGUACGGCCGCAAGGCUAAAACUCAAAGGAAUUGACGGGGGCCCGCACAAGCGGCGGAGCAUGCGGAUUAAUUCGAUGCAACGCGAAGAACCUUACCAAGGCUUGACAUAUACUGGACCGCAUCAGAGAUGGUGUUUCCCUUCGGGGCUGGUAUACAGGUGGUGCAUGGUUGUCGUCAGCUCGUGUCGUGAGAUGUUGGGUUAAGUCCCGCAACGAGCGCAACCCUUGUCCCGUGUUGCCAGCACGUUGUGGUGGGGACUCGCGGGAGACUGCCGGGGUCAACUCGGAGGAAGGUGGGGAUGACGUCAAAUCAUCAUGCCCCUUAUGUCUUGGGCUUCACGCAUGCUACAAUGGCCGGUACAGAGGGUUGCGAUACUGUGAGGUGGAGCUAAUCCCUAAAAGCCGGUCUCAGUUCGGAUUGGGGUCUGCAACUCGACCCCAUGAAGUCGGAGUCGCUAGUAAUCGCAGAUCAGCAACGCUGCGGUGAAUACGUUCCCGGGCCUUGUACACACCGCCCGUCAAGUCACGAAAGUUGGUAACACCCAAAGCCGGUGGCCUAACCCUUUUGGGAGGGAGCCGUCUAAGGUGGGAUUGGCGAUUGGGACUAAGUCGUAACAAGGUAGCCGUACCGGAAGGUGCGGCUG
rnacentral:rRNA from 1 species